CCUUACAAAAAUCAUCAAUGAGUUUCAAUUGAGUUUCUAAUGUACUAUAUAAGCAUACGUUAGAAGCUCAAUUGAAACUCAUUGAUGAUUUUGGUAA
rnacentral:pre_miRNA from 1 species